CACCCGGUAGCACACGGUGUGCAUCUGCAGUACCUAGCCAAGUGAGUUCCGUGGUGCAGAAGGUCCCCGUUCGAUCCGGGGCCGGGUGA